rnacentral:rRNA from 1 species
AUUGAACGCUGGCGGCAUGCCUUACACAUGCAAGUCGAACGGUAACAGGGAGCUUGCUCCGCUGACGAGUGGCGAACGGGUGAGUAAUGUAUCGGAACGUACCAUUCAGUGGGGGAUAACGUAGCGAAAGUUACGCUAAUACCGCAUAUUCUGUGAGCAGGAAAGCAGGGGAUCGCAAGACCUUGCGCUGAUUGAGCGGCCGAUAUCAGAUUAGCUAGUUGGUGAGGUAAAGGCUCACCAAGGCGACGAUCUGUAGCGGGUCUGAGAGGAUGAUCCGCCACACUGGAACUGAGACACGGUCCAGACUCCUACGGGAGGCAGCAGUGGGGAAUUUUGGACAAUGGGGGCAACCCUGAUCCAGCCAUGCCGCGUGAGUGAAGAAGGCCUUCGGGUUGUAAAGCUCUUUCGGCCGGGAAAAAGUCGACAUCAGUUAAUACCUAGGUGUGGAUGAUGGUACCGGAAUAAGAAGACACCGGCUAACGUACGUGACCG